AUUGAACGCUGGCGGCAGGCCUAACACAUGCAAGUCGAGCGGGGGAGCGGACGGGUGAGUAAUACCUAUGAAUCUGCCUGGGAGUGGGGGAUGGCGUCCGGAAACGGGCGCGAAUACCGCAUACUAUCAGAUGAGCCUAGGUCGGAUUAGCUAGUGGGUGGGGUAAAGGCCUACCAAGGCGACGAUCCGUAACUGGUCUGAGAGGAUGAUCAGUCACACUGGAACUGAGACACGGUCCAGACUCCUACGGGAGGCAGCAGUGGGGAAUAUUGGACAAUGGGCGAAAGCCUGAUGCAGCCAUGCCGCGUGUGUGAAGAAGGUCUUCGGAUUGUAAAGUACUUUAAGCUGGGAGGCGUUACCAACAGAAGAAGCACCGGCUAACUCCGUGCCAACAGCCGCGGUAAUAC
rnacentral:rRNA from 1 species